AGUACGGCCGCAAGGUUGAAACUCAAAGAAAUUGACGGGGGCCCGCACAAGCGGUGGAGUAUGUGGUUUAAUUCGAUGCAACGCGAAGAACCUUACCUGGUCUUGACAUGUCAGGAAUCCUGCAGAGAUGCGGGAGUGCCGAAAGGAGCCUGAACACAGGUGCUGCAUGGCUGUCGUCAGCUCGUGUCGUGAGAUGUUGGGUUAAGUCCCGCAACGAGCGCAACCCUUGUCCUUAGUUGCCAUCAUUUAGUUGGGCACUCUAAGGAGACUGCCGGUGACAAACCGGAGGAAGGUGGGGAUGACGUCAAGUCCUCAUGGCCCUUAUGACCAGGGCUACGCACGUACUACAAUGGCCAAUACAGAGGGUCGCGAAGUCGCGAGAUGGAGCUAAUCCCAGAAAGUUGGUCGUAGUCCGGAUCGGAGUCUGCAACUCGACUCCGUGAAGUCGGAAUCGCUAGUAAUCGCGGAUCAGCAUUUGUCGCGGUGAAUACGUUCCCGGGCCUUGUACACACCGCCCGUCACACCAUGGAAGUUGGCUGCACCAGAAGCCGGUAGUCUAACCGCAAGGAGGACGCCGACCACGGUGUGGUCAAUGACUGGGGUGAAGUCGUAACAAGGUAGCCGUAGGGGAACCUGCGGCUGGAUCACCU
rnacentral:rRNA from 1 species